UACAGAGGUGGCAAGCGUUGUUCGGAAUUACUGGGCGUAAAGCGCACGUAGGCGGCUUUGUAAGUUAGAGGUGAAAGCCCGGGGCUCAACUCCGGAACUGCCUUUAAGACUGCAUCGCUUGAAUCCAGGAGAGGUGAGUGGAAUUCCGAGUGUAGAGGUGAAAUUCGUAGAUAUUCGGAAGAACACCAGUGGCGAAGGCGGCUCACUGGACUGGUAUUGACGCUGAGGUGCGAAAGCGUGGGGAGCAAACAGG
rnacentral:rRNA from 1 species